rnacentral:rRNA from 1 species
GACGAACGCUGGCGGCGUGCUUAACACAUGCAAGUCGAACGGAAAGGCCCUGCUUUUGUGGGGUGCUCGAGUGGCGAACGGGUGAGUAACACGUGAGUAACCUGCCCUUGACUUUGGGAUAACUUCAGGAAACUGGGGCUAAUACCGGAUAGGAGCUCCUGCUGCAUGGUGGGGGUUGGAAAGUUUCGGCGGUUGGGGAUGGACUCGCGGCUUAUCAGCUUGUUGGUGGGGUAGUGGCUUACCAAGGCUUUGACGGGUAGCCGGCCUGAGAGGGUGACCGGCCACAUUGGGACUGAGAUACGGCCCAGACUCCUACGGGAGGCAGCAGUGGGGAAUAUUGCACAAUGGGCGGAAGCCUGAUGCAGCAACGCCGCGUGCGGGAUGGCGGCCUUCGGGUUGUAAACCGCUUUCGCCUGUGACGAAGCGUGAGUGACGGUAAUGGGUAAAGAAGCACCGGCUAACUACGUG